rnacentral:rRNA from 1 species
GAUGGACGCUGGCGGCGUGCCUAAUACAUGCAAGUCGAGCGAACGGACGAGAAGCUUGCUUCUCUGAUGUUAGCGGCGGACGGGUGAGUAACACGUGGAUAACCUACCUAUAAGACUGGGAUAACUUCGGGAAACCGGAGCUAAUACCGGAUAAUAUUUUGAACCGCAUGGUUCAAAAGUGAAAGACGGUCUUGCUGUCACUUAUAGAUGGAUCCGCGCUGCAUUAGCUAGUUGGUAAGGUAACGGCUUACCAAGGCAACGAUGCAUAGCCGACCUGAGAGGGUGAUCGGCCACACUGGAACUGAGACACGGUCCAGACUCCUACGGGAGGCAGCAGUAGGGAAUCUUCCGCAAUGGGCGAAAGCCUGACGGAGCAACGCCGCGUGAGUGAUGAAGGUCUUCGGAUCGUAAAACUCUGUUAUUAGGGAAGAACAUAUGUGUAAGUAACUGUGCACAUCUUGACGGUACCUAAUCAGAAAGCCACGGCUAACUACGU